rnacentral:lncRNA from 1 species
UCGAUCGUUUACUAUAUUUCUUUUGCAUGUUUUGACUUCCAGAAUAAUUUUGUUUGGUAUAACAUAUUAUUCAAACCUCCACAGUCGGUCAUAUGUCGGAAGUAGGUAUGAAUCAAGACUGUCAUGAUGGGUUGUAGAGGUCUAAGGUGUUGGACAAGGCUACAACAAUCAUGAGUGCUCAUAAGUUCUGAGCAUUGGACUCAACCCACGCUCACUGGAAUCACUUCAUGGAAUUUUAUCUCGAGUGAUCGUGAGACGGUAAUAUCAUAUAAGUCUUCAAACCUAGAGAUAUGAUUUGUUACUUACGAGUUGGUUAUGCAUUGAUUGUACGAAAACGCAUUGGUAACUCGAUGUUAUAAAACGUGCUUUUGUGUGUAAUUCAAUGAGUGGUAGAACAAACAUAUGAGUCGAAGUUUAUCUGUUCCUUCUUGGAUUAGAAGCUGAUAUCUGGGCCCCUCGAUGAUUUUGUUUUGACCUAUGUACCGGGCCCGGUCAGAACUAAAUUGAUGUGUUCAGUUAAGUUCUAUGUCAAACAAAUCGGAAAUCGGGAAACAAAUGCUGGACAAUAAGCAAGACCAUGUUCCAUGUAUUUCUCCGGCUGAUAUCUAGAACAAAGGAUUAUAUGAUCACUUGUCUAAAAUGGUGCGUUCUAGUUAAACAGAGUUUAAAGAGCUACGAUUGCUGAUCGGUUCCUGAAGUCAUACUUGCAACUAUAGUUAUUAGACUUAUCCAAGUGGGAGACUGUUGGAUAUAGUGUCUAAGUCCAUAACUAUAUUUGGUAUGCACUUCACCCGAAAAAUUUAUGGAUAAUCUUUUGAGAAUAGUAUAAGUUAUGAUUUAUUAAUAUAUUAUAAGUUCNAAGGCUAGUGGGAGCAUAGUCAACUUUUUGGUAUUGUAUGUGGAUGACAUACUACUCAUAGGAAAUGACAUCCGAACCCUGCAGAAAGUAAAGUCCUGGCUUGGGAAGUGUUUCGCUAUGAAGGACCUUGGUGAAGCUGCCUAUAUUCUAGGGAUAAGCAUUUUGAGAAAUAGGAGUAAAAGACUAAUUGGACUUAGUCAUAGCAACUAUGUGGACAAAGUGUUGAAAAGAUUCAACAUGCAUAACUCCAAGAACGCUGAGUUACCCAUCCAGAGUAACGCCAGAUUGAGUAAGACACAAAGCCCUAGUAUUGAGGCUGAGAUAGCAGAAAUGACUCAAAUACCUUAUGCUUCAGCUGUAGGAUCGAUCAUGUAUGUUAUGACGUGUACUCGACCUGAUGUAGCCUUUGCUUUGAGCAUGGUUAGCAGGUAUCAAGGGAACCCUGGCCAGGCACACUGGACUGCGGUAAAGAAUAUCCUCAAGUACCUACGAACUACAGACUGGGUCCUUACCCUUGGUGGGAGUGAUGACUUGAAAGUUGUAGGGUACAGUGAUGCUAGCUUUCAGACUGAAAGGGAUAAUUUCCGCUCUCAGUCGGGCUGGGUCUUUACCCUAAACUGAGGGGCAAUUACUUGGAAAAGUUCCAAGAAGGAGACUGUGGCUGAUUCCACUUGUGAAUCAGAGUAUAUAGCAGCAAGCGAGGCAGCAAAGGAGGCUAUAUGGCUAAAGAACUUCAUCGGAGACCUUGGAGUUGUACCAGCUAUAAAGGAGCCAAUGGAGAUUUUCUAUGACAGCAAUAGUGCGGUUGCCUUAGCCAAGGAACCAAGAGAUCAUGGGAGAUCCAGACACAUUGAUAGAAAAUAUCACUUCAUUAGACAUCGAAUAGAAGAAGGAAUCCUCAUGGAAAAGAGGGUAUCCUCGGAUGAGAAUCCAGCAGAUCCCCUCACGAAAGGACUGACUCGGGUUAAGCAUCUCCAGCAUGCUCGGAGCAUAGGGCUGAAGGAUGAUAUUAGAUUUAGUAGUUAGAUAACCUCGAAAUUUGUAAAGUGUAAUUGACAUCAGAUGAUGAAUAAAAGGGGUUUUAUUUAUGAGUAAAGUGUUACUAUCUCUUGACGAUCGUUUACUAUAUUUCUUUUGCAUGUUUUGACUUCCAGAAUAAUUAUGUUUGGUAUAUCAUAUUAUUCGAACCUCCACAGUCGGUCAUAUGUUGGAAGUAGGUAUGAAUCAAGACUGUCAUGAUUGGUUGCAGAGGUCUAAGGUGUUGGACAUGGCUACAACAAUCAUGAGUGCUCAUAAGUUCUGAGCAUUGGACUCAACCCACGCUCACUGGAAU